rnacentral:rRNA from 2 species
AUACAUGCAAGUCGAGCGAACUGAUUAGAAGCUUGCUUCUAUGACGUUAGCGGCGGACGGGUGAGUAACACGUGGGCAACCUGCCUGUAAGACUGGGAUAACUUCGGGAAACCGAAGCUAAUACCGGAUAGGAUCUUCUCCUUCAUGGGAGAUGAUUGAAAGAUGGUUUCGGCUAUCACUUACAGAUGGGCCCGCGGUGCAUUAGCUAGUUGGUGAGGUAACGGCUCACCAAGGCAACGAUGCAUAGCCGACCUGAGAGGGUGAUCGGCCACACUGGGACUGAGACACGGCCCAGACUCCUACGGGAGGCAGCAGUAGGGAAUCUUCCGCAAUGGACGAAAGUCUGACGGAGCAACGCCGCGUGAGUGAUGAAGGCUUUCGGGUCGUAAAACUCUGUUGUUAGGGAAGAACAAGUACGAGAGUAACUGCUCGUACCUUGACGGUACCUAACCAGAAAGCCACGGCUAACUACGUGCCAGCAGCCGCGGUAAUACGUAGGUGGCAAGCGUUAUCCGGAAUUAUUGGGCGUAAAGCGCGCGCAGGCGGUUUCUUAAGUCUGAUGUGAAAGCCCACGGCUCAACCGUGGAGGGUCAUUGGAAACUGGGGAACUUGAGUGCAGAAGAGAAAAGCGGAAUUCCACGUGUAGCGGUGAAAUGCGUAGAGAUGUGGAGGAACACCAGUGGCGAAGGCGGCUUUUUGGUCUGUAACUGACGCU